CCCGCUGAACUUAAGCAUAUCAAUAAGCGGAGGAAAAGAAACUAACAAGGAUUCCCCUAGUAACUGCGAGUGAAGCGGGAAAAGCUCAAAUUUAAAAUCUGUCAGUCUUUGGCUGUCCGAGUUGUAAUCUAGAGAAGUGUUACCUGUGCUGGACCGUGUACAAGUCUCCUGGAAUGGAGCGUCACAGAGGGUGAGAAUCCCGUCUUUGACACGGACUGCCUGCAUGUUUAUGGUGCGCUCUCAAAGAGUCGAGUUGUUUGGGAAUGCAGCUCAAAAUGGGUGGUAAAUGCCAUCUAAAGCUAAAUAUUGGCGAGAGACCGAUAGCGAACAAGUACCGUGAGGGAAAGAUGAAAAGAACUUUGGAAAGAGAGUUAAACAGUACGUGAAAUUGUUGAAAGGGAAACGCUUGAAGUCAGUCAUGUCUCACUGAAAUCAACCUGGCACUUGUCUGGUGUACUUUCUGUGGGACAGGUCAGCAUCAGUUCUGAUUGCUGGAAAAAGGCCUUGGGAAUGUGACAUCUUUUCGAAGAUGUGUUAUAGCCCUCGGACCACAUACAGUGAUUGGGACUGAGGAACUCGAUGUGUGAAAUAACACAUUCAAGGAUGCUGGCAUAAUGGCUUUAAUCGACCCGUCUUGAAACACGG
rnacentral:rRNA from 1 species